UACAAAUGUAGCCCCUGAAAUGGCGUAGCACUUCCAUUUACACUAUUGCUGACACAAACGUAGCUCAUGCAUACAGCCAAAACGGCGAUAUGCUCGCUCCUUCGUGUGAAGGAUCUCCGUGUCAAUCUGGAUCCUUCCUCAAUGACAAUACAAGCGGCUAGGACGUGACGCGUUUGUUUCGAGACUAAUUGCAGCCCAACUGGACUAAGCCACUCCUGGAAGGGGGGUUCUGCGAGCGUGGGAACAGAGGCCUGCGGACGACAGCUUAAGGAAAGAACACUCCAAAAAAAAACCCACAACAAAUCAGAAAACCAGCACGACAACAGCAGAGGUAUAUGCGAGCGUGUCACAUCAGAGUGAGGAUACACCUUGGGGUCCUUCCUGCGACUCUCCAGCCAUCUUUUGUUGGAGUUGAUCA